CUGCAGCCAGAUGGACAGUGAGAUUGGCCCUGACACCAGGAGAAAGGAAUGAACCCAGCAUUCAACAAUAAUGAAGGGAACCACACGGGAAUAACCUGGAGGAAAAGGUUAUACAGAAUCAUUUUCAGACACCUCAGAAGCCACCUGACAAAUAAGAAGCCUUAUUCAAGACACACGGACCUAGCUCUCAAG